rnacentral:rRNA from 1 species
CGAAGGGCUAGCGUUGCUCGGAAUUACUGGGCGUAAAGGGAGCGUAGGCGGAUUGUUUAGUCAGAGGUGAAAUCCCGGGCUCAACCUCGGAACUGCCUUUGAUACUGGCAAUCUUGAGUAUGGGAGAGGUGUGUGGAACUCCGAGUGUAGAGGUGAAAUUCGUAGAUAUUCGGAAGAACACCAGUGGCGAAGGCGACACACUGGCCCAUUACUGACGCUGAGGCUCGAAAGCGUGGGGAGCAAACAGGAUU